UACGUAGGGUGCAAGCGUUAAUCGGAAUUACUGGGCGUAAAGCGUGCGCAGGCGGUUAUUUAAGUCAGAUGUGAAAUGCCCGGGCUUAACCUGGGAACUGCAUUUGUGACUGCAUGGCUAGAGUUUGGCAGAGGGGGGUAGAAUUCCACGUGUAGCAGUGAAAUGCGUAGAGAUGUGGAGGAACACCGAUGGCGAAGGCAGCCCCCUGGGCUGAGAUCGACGCUCAGGCACGAAAGCGUGGGGAGCAAACAGG
rnacentral:rRNA from 1 species